AUCACUAGUUUACAUCAAAAGUUUUACUAAAUUGGAAAAUGCUCUUUGUAAACCACUCUUUAAUUCUUAAUCUUUCUAAUAGAGAAUUCAGUCCGUGUAUGCAAACUGAAAACAUAGUUCUUGAUUUGUGAGUUUGGUUUAAUGUUAUCAAAUAGCUGCUAUAUAUUUUUCGAUUUCUUUCUUAUGUUCUGUUUUUUUUUUCAUUCGCAACAUGAGUUGGAUGAAGGCGUUAAGGAACUUGCUCAGAGAAUUUCUAGCAAGUCACCACUGGCAGAUGUUAGGACAAAGACUGUGUUGCUUAAAAGUAGGGACUUACCGUGAAUCAAGGGUUGGAUUUUGUAGCAACUUUAAAUUCUGCAAAAUUGUUUUCCAGUGACUUAAUUGAAGCAGUUGAGGCAGUGAAGCUGAAAAGAAGGUUAUUUCCUGCGGAUUUAUCUGCGGAUCUUCCUGCCAAAUAUAAUAUCUAUGAAGGUUUUAGUUGGGAACUAAAAUCGGCAGGAAGAACCGCAGGAAAAUUGAGCUAAAAUCCGCAGAAGAAAGCUUGGUCGGGUUGAAUUAUUCAUUAUAGAUCGAGUUGAUCUUGAGCACCGAGGCAGUUUGAUAACUCAUAAUGUGUGAGGGACGACUUUUGAUAAGUCAUGGCACACCAUAGAAGGAAUGUCACCUUAACCUUAACUGUAAGUGAAGAGUGAGAUGUAAUGGAAGUGACAAAGAAUGCACAUUCACAGAUUUAGGGCAUAUGUCUCAUCAGCCAGCAUUAUAUAGCACAUUUGAAUCAAAAAGAAAAAGGAUAAGAUCAAAGGCGAUAAAUGACAAAACUCCGCACAAUAGUACAAUUGAUUCUCCUGCUCCACUAUGCCUGCCAAACAACGCUUUGUGCCCCACAUGUUGUUUGUACCAUGCUCAAUAAUGGUACUAAAAUGAAGAAUUGGAUAAGAUCAAAGGCGAUAAAUGACAAAACUCCGUACAUUUGAAUCAACCAAUAUGUUGUGCAGAACUGCUGCGAAACACCAUUGAUUUUCCUGCUCCACUAGGCCUGCCCAACAACGCUAUGUGCCUCACAUGCUGUUUGUACUCUGCUUAACAAUGGUACUGAAAUGAAGAAUUGGAGGGAACCUAGUGAUUCUAUUGGGCCAAGCACAUUGAAUAUUCAAAGGCCAAUGAUCCAAGACUCCAUAAGAACCCUAGUUGAAGCUACUAUAAAAGAAACUCUUGGAGGAAUUGCAAAAAAGGUUCAACAAUCCAGAGAGAUAAACACUGAGUGAAAACUAGUGAAGAAAGUGAGCUAAACAAAGUGGAUAACUUCUUUUUCUCAUAAUCUCAAAUAUAUGUUGCAAGUAACUAGCGUGACAUGGGUCGUCUCUUGCUGAUUAAAGAUUGCAGAAGACAAAGAAGUUACUCUUACACUUUCCUUUCUUUUUCAUUAUGUGUUUAAGAAUGUUUAGCUUAGGAUCCAAUGUUUAUGUAUGUACUAAGCUCACCAUGAGCUAAACCCUUUUAUGUCAGAAAUGUUAAGUUAACAUAAAAUAGUUAUUUGGGUUAAA